rnacentral:lncRNA from 1 species
CCCUUGUCCACUAGAGGCAAGGUGCCCCCUGACCCCUUCUUCCAAAUAUACGCUUUUGUCUUUUAUUCCUGCAUUCGCCCGCUUUGUUCAGUCCCCCUAGGUCCAUGUGGGUUACAUAGUGGCGCCGCAGAACAGGGACUUCAAGGACGUAAACGAAGAAGGUCUGCUGGAGCAGAGGAACUGAAAUUGAGAAGGUGAACGGGGACCCCAGGCCGAGUCUGCCGACAGGGAUAUAAGGAGAUGGACAAGCCGUGUGGGUGCCCUCAAGGUGUGUGCAACCAUGGAAUGGGAGACUGGAGGAACCCAGGGUGGCCAACCAUGGGUCCGGUCCCUCUGGUGUGAGCCAUGAGCCAGCUGAGCCUGAGUGCGAAGACGGAGAGAAGGCCGACCACAGUCAUGACAUCAACCCCCAUAACCUGGGGACAACUCAAGAAAACCACACAGGAGGCUGAGAAACUACUGGAGCACCAGGGACAGUCUGUAAAGUUGGAUGGACCAUCAAUGGGAAAAUGAGAGCUGCCCACCCUGGCCUUACACUCCUUCAAUUAAUACAUAAACAGAAAGGAGGAUAUACAGAGAGCCAAAGGCCCAUGGGACGUGACCAACAUUCCACUGAGUCUAUACGAUCAAACAGCAAACUGUUUAUCAUGAAUACAGAAUGUGGGCAAACUCAUGACUGUGCCUGCCCCAGAAGGUUUGCUGAGGGCAAUUGCUUCCUGACGCCAAGCUCCUUGAGGUUAUCUAUUGGGACAUCCAGAGAAUGCAGUCUUGCAAGCCUACUCUGGACCGAGCAGCUGACCCCCUCUUCCACUUCCCUUCACACUAUCUCUUUUGCCUAAUAAAUACGGAAGGCUGUGUACAAGGUCAGGUCCCUUGUCCACUAGAGGCAAGGUGCUUCCUGACCCUUCUUCCAAAUAUACUCUUUUGUCUUUGUCUUUUAUUCCCGCAUUUGCCUCCUUUGUUCAGUUCCCCUAGGUCCUUGCAGGUUACAAAUGGGCAAGCAACUGGCUGGUUUGGAAGGGACUUCUGGGCUGGGAUAAGAAGAAGCAUAGUGCAGGACUCAGGAAUGGGAUUAGGGAAGGAGUGUUCUGGGCGGAGGGAACAAGUGGAGCGGGCCUGGUUUGGGGCUCAUUUGGCUGAAGGGGCAGAGGAAAAGUUAAGGAGGAAGGGGCACGCUGGUCGGUGUAGGCUGUGGAGGGGACUGCUGAUUGUGAUUGUAUUCUCAGAGUGGUGGGGGCCAUUGAACAUUUUAAAGAGGGCAGCAACAUGAUCAUUCAUUCUGGCUGCUUUGUGGGAAAUGCCUUCCAGGGAUUAAGAGUGGAAGAAGGAAGAUGACGACAAUCCAGACCAGAGAUGAAGGUGGCUUGAGGGCGGCUUGGCCACGGCUGUGCUGUCCCACAUGGAAGCCAUUGGCCAAUUAGCUAUGAGCACUUGGAAUGUGGCUGGUCUGAAUGGAGAUGUGCUGUGAGUGUAAAAUACAGACUGAAUUUUAAAGGCUUAGUACAGAAACAAGAACAUCAGAUAUCACACGGAUAAUUUUU